GUCCCUUCGGGGACAUCCGAUAAAAUUGGAACGAUACGGAGAAGAUUAGCAUGACCCUGCGCAAGAUGACACGCACAAAAGUGGUGAGAGUUUAAACUUUAUU
rnacentral:snRNA from 1 species